AUGGGGUUGUUGCCUUGUUGGGUUACUUCAGUAGACAGGGUUGCAAACUUAAAUAAGGUUUUGUUACUGAUAAACCUUCCGAACUUAAAUAAAGUGUUUUGUAUCAUGAAGAUAAACCUUCCGAACUUAGAUGGAGUACGUUCAUUUUCCGAAUGCCUUAAUCCCAAAUUUACAUUUUAUCAGGAAUUCCAUUGUUAUACUGCGUUUUUCUUCUUACAAAAUCAUGAAACCAAGCAGGACAAGUUAUUUUUAUUUGCAUCUGAUCAUGUAUCGCAUAAUUUAAUUGUGGAAUUUAAGUUAGACUAUAUGCUCAUAUAA
rnacentral:rRNA from 1 species